UCUGUCAGGUUCACUUCACAGUGGGGAGCCCUGGAACCAUUGAAGAAGAAGGUAUUUUCCUGCUAGAGGAAGAAAUAGACAUGUUGCUCUGCAGCCUGUUGAAGGUGGUCACAGCUUCCAUGUGGCUAGUGUCUGGUAUUGCCCAGAAGGUAAUUCAAGUCCAACCGGCAAUGUUGAUGCAGGAGAAGGAGGCUGUGACUCUGAGCUGCACAUAUGAAACCAGUGAAAGUAGUUACAGUCUAUUUUGGUACAAGCAGCCCCCCAGUGGGGAGAUGAUUCUCAUUAUUCGCCAGAACUCCUAUAGCCUGAAAAAUGAAACAGAGGGUCGUUACUCACUGAAUUUCCAGAAGACCAGCAAAUCCAUCACCCUUGUCAUCUCAGCUUCACAACUGGGGGACUCAGCAACAUAUUUCUGUGCUCUGCAGAACACACACUGA